UCACCUCCGCAGGCUGCGGUCCCCAGUCUGGGCUGGGCGAGUAUCUCUUGGAAAGGCUCACCCUCAAGCACAAGUAGGAGC
rnacentral:pre_miRNA from 1 species